AUUGAACGCUGGCGGCAGGCCUAACACAUGCAAGUCGAGCGGAUGAAGGGAGCUUGCUCCUGGAUUCAGCGGCGGACGGGUGAGUAAUGCCUAGGAAUCUGCUUGGUAGUGGGGGAUAACGUCCGGAAACGGGCGCUAAUACCGCAUACGUCCUGAGGGAGAAAGUGGGGGAUCUUCGGACCUCACGCUAUCAGAUGAGCCUAGGUCGGAUUAGCUAGUUGGUGGGGUAAAGGCCUACCAAGGCGGCGAUCCGUAACUGGUCUGAGAGGAUGAUCAGUCACACUGGAACUGGAACACCGUCCUUGGUACUACGGGAGGGCGCAGUGGGGAACAUUGGACAGCGGGCGAAAGCCUGAUCCAGUCGUGGCGCGUGUGAGAAGACGGUCUUCCGAGUGUAAAGCACUUUAAGUUGGGAGGAAGGGCAGUAAGUUAAUACCUUGCUGUUUUGACGUUACCAGCAGAAUAAGCACCGGCUAACUUCGUG
rnacentral:rRNA from 1 species